UCUACGGGUGGCUGCAGUGAGGAAUAUUGCGCAAUGGGGGCAACCCUGACGCAGCGACGCCGCGUGAGUGAGGAAGGCCUUCGGGUCGUAAAGCUCUGUCAAAGGGAAAGAAGUGCAUGGUGGUUAAUACCUGCCAUGUUUGACGGUACCCUUAAAGGAAGCACCGGCUAACUCCGUGCCAGCAGCCGCGGUACUUCGGAGGGUGCAAGCGGUGUUCGGAAUUACUGGGCGUAAAGGGCGCGUAGGCGGUUUUAUAAGUCAGAUGUGAAA
rnacentral:rRNA from 1 species